rnacentral:rRNA from 1 species
UACGUAGGGGGCAAGCGUUGUCCGGAAUCAUUGGGCGUAAAGAGCGCGUAGGCGGUCCGGUAAGUCCGCUCUGAAAGUCCGGGGCUCAACCCCGGGAGGCGGGCGGAUACUGUCGGGCUAGAGUCCGGAAGAGGAGAGUGGAAUUCCUGGUGUAGCGGUGAAAUGCGCAGAUAUCAGGAAGAACACCAAUGGCGAAGGCAGCUCUCUGGGACGGUACUGACGCUGAGACGCGAAAGCGUGGGGAGCGAACAGG